UGAGGAAUAUUGGUCAAUGGGCGAGAGCCUGAACCAGCCAAGUCGCGUGAAGGAUGACGGCCCUACGGUUGUAAACUUCUUUUGUCAGGGAGCAAUUGGGUCCACGUGUGGGCUUAGCGAGAGUACCUGAAGAAAAAGCAUCGGCUAACUCCGUGCC
rnacentral:rRNA from 1 species